rnacentral:rRNA from 1 species
UUUGUUCAAGUUUUAAAGAGCGUUUGGUGGAUGCCUAGGCACCAAGAGACGAAGAAGGACGCUGCAAGUUGCGAUAAGCUUCGGGGAGCUACAAGCGAGCGACGAUCCGAAGGUGUCCGAAUGGGAAAACCUACCUGGCCGAAGCUAGGUGCCGAAAGCUGAAUUCAUAGGCAAUUGGCGAAUAACGAGGUGAAAUGAAACAUCUUAGUAACCUUAGGAAAAGAAAGCCGACAGCGAUUCCGUUUGUAGUGGCGAGCGAAGGCGGAAAAGGCAAAACUCCUAGACUAUUUAGGAGGGUAGCGGGAUUCAACGAUCUGAGAACUGCGCAGUCGCAAAUUCCUGAAACGGAAUGCCUAAGACCGUGAUAGCCGAGUGUGGCGCGCGCUAGCAGCUUAUGACGUGAAACACUCCCGAGUAGAGCGGGGCACGUGAAACCCUGUUCGAAUCAGUCCAGACCACUGGAUAAGCCUAAAUACUACUUGGUGACCGAUAGUGAACCAGUACCGCGAGGGAAUGGUGAAAAGCACCGCUGAUAGCGGAGUGAAACAGAUCCUGAAACCAAAUGCUUACAAUGUGUUGAAGUUCCUUCGUAAGGGGGAAUAACAGCUUGCCUUUUGCAUAAUGAGUCUGCGAGUUUAUCUUUGUAGCUGCAGGAGCCUUUUUGAGGCGAGUGCGAAGCGAAAGCGAGUGCGAAUAGCGCGAAUAGUCGCAAGGAUAAGACCCGAAGCGGUGGUGAUCUACUCUUGGGCAGAUUGAAGCAUGGCUAACCCCAUGUGAAGGAUCGAACUCGUGGAUGUUGAAAAAUCCUGAGAUGACCUGAGAGUAGGAGCGAAAGACUAAUCAAACCCCGUAAUAGCUGGUUCUCUUCGAAAUCGCUUGAGGGCGAGCGUCAAAAUUCUAACUGGAUGUGGUAGAGUGCUGAAUGGCUUAGGGGCCCCACCAGGCCACCAAAACCGACCAAACUUCGAAUCCAUCCAGAAGGUUUGGCAGUCAGGCUGCGGGGGAUAAGCUCCGCAGCCAAGAGGGCAACAGCCCAGACCGCCGGCUAAGGUGCCGAAAUGUGUCUAAGUGGAAAGGAUGUGCCGACGCGAAGACAGUGAGGAUGUUGGCUUAGAGGCAGCCACCAUUUAAACAGUGCGUAAUAGCUGACUCAUCGAGCGAUGGUGCGCCGAAAAUGAUUGGCGAUGUACUACACAUACCGAAGCCGCGGAUUCGCAGCCUAUCAGGCCGAAUGGUAGAAGAGCAUAGUCAGUUCAAUGAAUCUCACUGGAAACGGUGGCAGGAGGGCUGAGUAGCGAGAAUGCAGACACGAGUAGCGAAAUACUAGGUGAGAAUCCUAGUCGCCCAAAGUCCAAGGGUUUCUGGGCCAGGUUCGUCCUCCCAGAGUUAGCCGGGUGCUAAGGUGAUGCCGAUGGGCGCAACCAAUGCACAGCAGGUAAAUAGUCCUGAGCCACGGGCUAAAGGUGCAAUCCCGACGCACGUCUUAAUAAGGUGGACUCAACGAGUGAAGUUAGCCUAGACUGCAAAGUCGAAGCGAGCCUUUAUGACGAAGUGCCAAGAAAAAGGACUGCAUACAACCCCGUGCCCGUACCCAAACCGACACAGGUGGACAAGUGCAAAUGCACGAAGGCGCGCGAGAGAAACCUCUCUAAGGAACUCGGCACAUUUGCCUCGUAACUUCGGGAGAAGAGGUGCUCACUAGUCGUGAGCUUCAAUAAAUUGCGUUUAGCGACUGUUUAACAAAAACACAGCUCUCUGCGACGUAAUACACUAGGUAUAGGGAGUGACAAGUGACCAAUGCGGAAAGAUUAUCGUGCCUUGUUCUGCCGUCACGGCAAAAGCUUGGCACUUAAGUCCCCGUGAAUGUCGGCCGUAACUAUAACGGUCCUAAGGUAGCGAAAUUCCUUGUCGGGUAAGUUCCGACCUGCACGAAUCUUGUAACGACUGAACGACUGUCUCGGAGAGGAUCUCGGCGAAACUGUAGUUGCGGUGAAGAUGCCGCAUGCCCGCAGUAGGACGGAAAGACCCUAUGCACCUUUACUGUAAGCUCCUGCUGGGUUCUUAUAUGUCAUGCUUAGUGUAGGUGGGAGACUAGGAAAGCGUGGCUUUGGUUGCGCAUGAGUCGUAAUAUGAAACACCACCCUUGACAAAUCAGGAUUCUAACUUGAAUCCGGCAUACGGAUCAAGGAAAUCGGGUGCAGGUCAGUUUGGCUGGGGCGGCUUCCUCCCAAAGUGUAACGGAGGAGCGCAAUGCUUAGCUCAGCACGGUUGGUAAUCGUGCGUCGAGCGUAUGGGUAUAAGCUAGGCUAACUGUGAGACGUACAUGUCGACCAGAUGCGAAAGCAGGCCCAAAUGAUCCGGCGGUUGAUUGUGGAAUUGCCGUCGCUCAUCGGACAAAAGGUACGCUAGGGAUAACAGGCUGAUCGGGACCAAGAGUUCAUAUCGACGUCCCGGUUUGGCACCUCGAUGUCGGCUCAUCGCAUCCUGGAGCUGGAGAAGGUUCCAAGGGUCCGGCUGUUCGCCGGUUAAAGCGGUACGCGAGCUGGGUUCAGAACGUCGUGAGACAGUUCGGUCCUUAUCCACUGUGGGUGCAUGAUAUAUGAGGGAUUCAUUUUCUAGUACGAGAGGACCGGAAAUGACGCACUUCUGGUGUGGUAGUUGCCGCUUCAGCGGCACAGCUACGUAGCCAUGUGCGGAUAAGAUAAGUGCUGAAAGCAUCUAAGCACCAAGCUUACCCCAAUACUGUGUAUCUCGGCGAUUGCCGGCAGAGCCCGGGCAGACUACCCGGUUGAUAGACUACUGGUAGAAUCAACGUGAGUUGCCGCCGAGUAGUACUAAUUGCUCGCCAAACUUGAGCGU